UCCGAUUUGUCACCGGCAGUCUCCUAUGAGUCCCCGACAUAACUCGCUGGCAACAUAGGACAAGGGUUGCGCUCGUUGCGGGACUUAACCCAACAUCUCACGACACGAGCUGACGACAGCCAUGCACCACCUGUUCACGGCGCCGAAGCACACGGGCUUUCACCCGCUUUACCGUGAAUGUCAAGCCUAGGUAAGGUUCUUCGCGUUGCAUCGAAUUAAGCCACACGCUCCGCCGCUUGUGCGAGCCCCCGUCAAUUUCUUUGAGUUUUAGCCUUGUGGCCGUACUCCCCAGGCGGGGUACUUAAUGCGUUAGCUACGGCACGGAUCCCAAGGAAGGAAACCCACACCUAGUACCCACCGUUUACGGCGUGGACUAC
rnacentral:misc_RNA from 1 species